rnacentral:rRNA from 1 species
GGUUAAGCGAAUAAGCGUACACGGUGGAUGCCUAGGCAAUCAGAGGCGAUGAAGGACGUGCUAAUCUGCGAAAAGCGUCGGUAAGGUGAUAUGAACCGUUAUACCCGACGAUAUCCGAAUGGGGAAACCCAGUAUCCAAUGGAUACUAUCAUUAACUGAAUCCAUAGGUUAAUGAGGCGAACCGGGAGAACUGAAACAUCUCAGUACCCCGAGGAAAAGAAAUCAACCGAGAUUCCCCUAGUAGCGGCGAGCGAACGGGGAGCAGCCCAGAGUCUUAAUCAAUAGCAGUGUCAGGAGAACGGUCUGGAAAGUCCGGCAGUAAAGGGUGAUAGCCCCGUAUCUGAAGAUGCUGUUAUUGUGAACUCGACGAGUAGGGCGGGACACGUGUUAUCCUGUCUGAAUAUGGGGGGACCAUCCUCCAAGGCUAAAUACUCCUGAUUGACCGAUAGUGAACCAGUACCGUGAGGGAAAGGCGAAAAGAACCCCGGCGAGGGGAGUGAAAAAGAACCUGAAACCGUGUACGUACAAGCAGUAGGAGCCNNACUGCGUACCUUUUGUAUAAUGGGUCAGCGACUUAUAUUCUGUAGCGAGGUUAACCGUAUAGGGGAGCCGUAGGGAAACCGAGUCUUAACUGGGCGAAUGAGUUGCAGGGUAUAGACCCGAAACCCGGUGAUCUAUCCAUGGGCAGGUUGAAGGUUGGGUAACACUAACUGGAGGACCGAACCGACUAAUGUUGAAAAAUUAGCGGAUGACUUGUGGAUGGGGGUGAAAGGCCAAUCAAACCGGGAGAUAGCUGGUUCUCCCCGAAAGCUAUUUAGGUAGCGCCUCGUGAACUCAUCUUCGGGGGUAGAGCACUGUUUCGACUAGGGGGUCAUCCCGACUUACCAACUCGAUGCAAACUGCGAAUACCGAAGAAUGUUAUCACGGGAGACACACGGCGGGUGCUAACGUCCGUCGUGAAGAGGGAAACAACCCAGACCGCCAGCUAAGGUCCCAAAGUCAUGGUUAAGUGGGAAACGAAGUGGGAAGGCUCAGACAGCCAGGAUGUUGGCUUAGAAGCAGCCAUCAUUUAAAGAAAGCGUAAUAGCUCACUGGUCGAGUCGGCCCGCGCGGAAGAUGUAACGGGGCUAAACCAUGCACCGAAGCUGCGGCAGCGANNGUUGGGUAGGGGAGCGUUCUGUAAGCCUGCGAAGGUGUACUGUGAGGUAUGCUGGAGGUAUCAGAAGUGCGAAUGCUGACAUAAGUAACGAUAAUGCGGGUGAAAAACCCGCACGCCGGAAGACCAAGGGUUCCUGUCCAACGUUAAUCGGGGCAGGGUGAGUCGACCCCUAAGGCGAGGCUGAAAAGCGUAGUCGAUGGGAAACGGGUUAAUAUUCCCGUACUGGUGGUAACUGCGAUGGGGGAACGGAGAAGGCUAGGUUGUCCGGGCGACGGUCGUCCCGGUUCAAGCAGGUAGGCAGAGUGAUUAGGCAAAUCCGGUCACUUAAUGCUGAGAUGUGAUGACGAACCACUAAGGUGGUGAAGCAAUUGAUGCCCCGCUUCCAGGAAAAGCCUCUAAGCUUCAGGUUACCAACAAUCGUACCCCAAACCGACACAGGUGGUCAGGUAGAGAAUACUCAGGCGCUUGAGAGAACUCGGGUGAAGGAACUAGGCAAAAUGGUGCCGUAACUUCGGGAGAAGGCACGCUGGCGGUAGGUAAAGUCCCUCGCGGACGGCGCUGAAGCCAGUCGAAGAUACCAGCUGGCUGCAACUGUUUAUUAAAAACACAGCACUGUGCAAACACGAAAGUGGACGUAUACGGUGUGACGCCUGCCCGGUGCUGGAAGGUUAAUUGAUGGGGUCAGCCGUAAGGCGAAGCUCCUGAUCGAAGCCCCAGUAAACGGCGGCCGUAACUAUAACGGUCCUAAGGUAGCGAAAUUCCUUGUCGGGUAAGUUCCGACCUGCACGAAUGGCGUAAUGAUGGCCAGGCUGUCUCCACCCGAGACUCAGUGAAAUUGAACUCGCUGUGAAGAUGCAGUGUACCCGCGGCAAGACGGAAAGACCCCGUGAACCUUUACUAUAGCUUGACACUGAACAUUGAGCCUUGAUGUGUAGGAUAGGUGGGAGGCUUUGAAGUGUGGACGCCAGUCUGCAUGGAGCCAACCUUGAAAUACCACCCUUUAACGUUUGAUGUUCUAACCUAGGCCCAUAAACUGGGUCGGGGACCGUGUCUGGUGGGUAGUUUGACUGGGGCGGUCUCCUCCUAAAGAGUAACGGAGGAGCACGAAGGUUGGCUAAGCAUGGUCGGACAUCAUGCGGUUAGUGCAAAGGCAUAAGCCAGCUUGACUGCGAGAGUGACGGCUCGAGCAGGUACGAAAGUAGGUCUUAGUGAUCCGGUGGUUCUGAAUGGAAGGGCCAUCGCUCAACGGAUAAAAGGUACUCCGGGGAUAACAGGCUGAUACCGCCCAAGAGUUCAUAUCGACGGCGGUGUUUGGCACCUCGAUGUCGGCUCAUCACAUCCUGGGGCUGAAGUAGGUCCCAAGGGUAUGGCUGUUCGCCAUUUAAAGUGGUACGCGAGCUGGGUUUAGAACGUCGUGAGACAGUUCGGUCCCUAUCUGCCGUGGGCGUUGGAAGAUUGAGAGGGGUUGCUCCUAGUACGAGAGGACCGGAGUGAACGCACCACUGGUGUUCGGGUUGUCAUGCCAAUGGCAUUGCCCGGUAGCUAAGUGCGGAAGAGAUAACCGCUGAAAGCAUCUAAGCGGGAAACUUGCCUCGAGAUGAGUCUUCCCUGUCNNUUAAGACUAAGACGUUGAUAGGCUGGGUGUGUAAGCGUAGCGAUACGUUGAGCUAACCAGUACUAAUGAACCGUGAGGCUUAACCUG